ACAACUCUGAUUGCCAAAUUCAAAUUACUAGAAAUCAACUACUCGUAUUAUUGGGGUUUCCACACAAAACAAACACCCAAAAUCCACCUCCUGCAAAACCAUAACCCAAAACCGCGCACCAUCUACCCCCCAUACCAAGAAACGUUUUUAGAGAGAGGGGCUCUCCCUUCUCUCUAAAAACCUAGCCCCAAAAUUAGAAAUAUUACACCGCCUCUCCUUUUCAGAAAUCCAAUUAGGCCUAUUUCUUUAGCAUGCUUUUCGAUUUGUCAAUAGAAAAGGCAUUCUUUUGAGCAAUAUUUUGCUAUCUUUGUUCAGAUAAUGAGUUUAUUAAGGUUUUUUUUUAUAGGAAAUCAUAUAUGGAAGUCUGUUGUGGUGAUUAUCAUCUUUUCUAGGAAUCUAGGUUCAUCACUCUCUUUGAAAAUCGGGUUUUCCACCGCCGUUGUUCCUCACCGAUGGUGGCUUUUAUCCACGCUCUGCCCCUCCGCCCGCUUAUUGGUGGUCUGCCGUCGCCGUCGGAUGCCUCGGCCCUGUUCGUCACCGUUGUUCCUUUCGAUGCCUCGUUUGUUUGACCGAUCUCUCUUCAUUGGUAGUCUGCCGUGAAUAUUAGAUCUUUGUCCCAGUUGGUGGUUCAUAUCCACCGCUGCUGCCCCGUGUCAGACGUUUGAGAUUGAUAGAGGACGAGACAGAGAAAGUGAAAGAGUUAUUCUGCAGACACAACAACACCCUUUAGAGAAACACUUAUAAUCUUGUGAAGUCUAACGAAUGUAGAAGAGCUCAGUCUGAAUGCAGCAGAGAAGAGGCUACUUAACGCAUACAAUGAUAAACCUGUAUUUUCACGCCCUUGUCAUGAGUUUUACUCGGGACAAAACCCUGAGGAUUUUCCGAGCAUGUGUUAUGCUGCGUAAGGUGAGAACAAAAUUGACUACACCAACUACCGUCACUUGGCAGUUUGAGUUGAGAACUUUUGAAGCAUAAAAGAGUAUUUUAACAAACCUCAUCCCAUGUAUUCUCAAAAACUGAUUGGCGAGCUAAGGGAUAUGUGGAUGUCGUACGUUAUCGGAUAUCACCAGCCAAAUAACGAUGAAGAUGAUGAUUUAUAUAUGCGAGUUGGGCUAGCUCAUCGGAUGAUAUUGGUUAACAAACUAUUUUUGUACUUUCUUUUUUCGACAUUAGAAAGGUAUUUGAUUUUCUUUUGGUUGAACAUUAUAUGAAUCAUGUUGUCGAUGAACAAUAGGAUUUUAUUAUUGAAUGAAAGGAUUUGCGGAUGAGUUUUUUUUAUAUUUUGUAUAUGAAAUAUGUUGCCUUUUGGUAGAUUGAGUGGAUAUGGUCGAUUGUAUCUAUUUAUUUUUGGUGUAUGAUGAUAAUAACCCAAAAAGGGUGGUGACGUGACAAUUACCGUAAUAUUUAGUAUUUUUUUUUAAAACAAAAAGCAUCGAAUAGAGAAUGGUUGCCUAUAACAGGCGCUCUCUAUGAUAAUUGAAACGGGGUAGCAUAUAAAGCGCCUAUCUACAGCGACAAUUACAUAUUUCAAUAUUUAUUUAACAGUUACAUAUGAUAAUGCUCUAUAUUCUCUCUCCAUUUAUAGAUUUUAUGAAGGGUAUCUGAGCGCCUUUCUCAAACCACCAUCAUAUAUGAUUAGACAUAUAACGCGCCUGUUGCGACCGCUUUAUAAGCUUUAUAAAGCGUUGAGCAGGAGAGCGCCUCUAAGGCGCUUUAUAAAGUCUAUUUUAACAGCUCUAUAUUCCUAUUUUUGUAGUAGUUCCCACAAUUGGAAGAUCUUUCUGCGACCUAUGUAGCUAAGGAGUCUUCUCCUAAGGUUACAGGAGAUGAGGGCCCGACGGCCAAGGAGGCCUCCACUGAGGCAGUAGCAAGUGCUGGUCAUGCUGCGGAUCCGUCGCCCAGGAAGGAGGCGAGCAGGGAGUCGGGUGACCCUUCUCCUGCCAAGGAUAAGGCAAUGCCCCAACCUACUCCGACGGCAAAUGCGGGUAAGUUUUGUAGUGAAUGGAACGUCUUGUCCACUCAGUUAUCUAUUGCUAAUCUCGUGAUUAUAUGUCGAUACAAAUGGUGUUGACUUUAAACGAUGAGGAGGGCCGAGGUGGAAUAGAUUCCCCCUUCCAGUGGUUUUAGCUCGGAGGAAAAGGAUAAAAUUAUUUCCUCCGUCUACGAGGCUAUCCCCAAGGAUUAUGUGAGAUCCCUUCCAGGCAUUGAGGAAGGGUUCUUAGGGGCCAUGCAGUCCCUUGUGCUGGAUAUUCGCCGAGGCUGGGCAGUACCGCGUCGGCAUGCACCAGGAGCUGCUGAAUCAGAAGAGCCAAAUUGAGAAUCAUGAUAAGUACGUCGAAAAUAAGGCGAAACUUAUUAAUGAUGAAUGGACGUGAUCAUCAGGUCGGAGACUUCUGCUUUCCAGCAGGCCGAGGCAGAUGCCCAAACUUAUGAGGCGAAGCUAAAGGAGCAUGAGGAGAAACUGACUGUCCUCAAGGCUGGGUAUGCUGCCGUUUUGGAGCGGGUUGCAAACUUCUCCACAAAGGUUGACGCCCUGGAGAAGAAGCUUAAGGCCACUCAGGGUGAAGUGGAGACUAUCCAGGGGGAGGCCGCUUGUUCCUUCAAGCUCGGGGAGGAAGCCGUUCUGCAGGGUGCUCGACGAGCGUGGGACCAGGAGAUGGAGGGAAAGGACUUUUCCUGGCUCAGGCGUCGAAUUUCAUACCAGAUGGCCGUCCUGGCUGCUCAGCGCCUCGGGCUUGAUCCUCCUGAGUUCAUUAGUGAUGGAGAAGAGGAGGACGUGGAGGAAGAAGAAGUGAACUCCCCAACCGGGCAGGACUCCAGGAUGGCAGUUCGACCGCUCCUUGUCCUUAAAAAUUUUCUUGCCUGUUGGUUUUUGUAGCGCCAUAGGCGCUUGUAUUAACAUUGGUGCCUUUGGGCACUUUUUAUUUGGGUUUUGCGCGCUAUGUGCGCGUGUAUGAACUAUUGUGCCUUCUAUGCACUUUUGACUUUAUGUCCAA